GGCUGCUGCUAUCUGGUUUGCAAUUAGACAUGCAAGUUUUUUUGUUUCUUAUGAAAUGAAAGGCGAACUGCUCAGUAACACGUGGCUAACCUGCCCUAAUGUUUGGAAUAAGCUCGGGAAACUGAGCCUAACACUGGAUAAAUGACAAAUGCUGGAAUGCGUUGUUGUUGAAGUUAGGAUGGGGCUGCGGCUGAUUAGCUUGUUGGCGGGGUAAUGGCCCACCAAGGCUACGAUCAGUAAGGGCUCUUAGCGGAGGGACCCUGAGAGGGAAUCUGAGACACUAUUCCCAGCCCUACGGGGUGCAGCAGUCGGGAAACUUCUACAAUGCGCGCAAGCGUGAUAGAGCAAGCCAGAGUGCUUUUCUAUAAUUGGAAAGCUUUUAUGUGAUGUAAAAAGUCACAUGAAUAAGGACUGGGAAAGACUGGUGCCAGCCGCCGCGGUAAUACCAGCAGUUCAAGUGGCAGCCGCUUUUAUUGGGUCUAAAACAUCCGUAGCUUGCUUGGUAAGUCUCUUGUGAAAUCUGACAUCUUAAGUGUCAGGCGUGCAUGAGAUACUGCCUUGCUAGAGACCGGGAGACGUAAGGAGUACGGUUAGGGUAGCGGUAAAAUGCGUUGAUCCUUUCUGGACUAACGAUAGCGAAGGCACCUUACGAGAACGGAUCUGACAGUGAGGGAUGAAGGCUAGGGUCGCAAAACGGAUUAGAUACCCGUGUAGUCCUAGCAGUAAACACUGCACACUAAACAUUGGUACCUCCUCGAGAGGUAUCGGUGCUGUAGGGAAGCCGUAGAGUGUGCUACCUGGGAAGUAUAGUCGCAAGGCCGAAACU
rnacentral:rRNA from 1 species